GGGAGUGCUGCUUCAUGCCAAGUUUAUAAACAGAGCAGUGUUUCCAGAUGGCCGCUGGCUCCAGCCUGGCGAGCAGGUUGAUUGGGACCAGAAUAACAACAGGUGGAGCGCAGACAAUGAGUUCCUUGACACUUAUUUACUCCCUUGGCGUUUUCUUCCCUCGCAGCCCUCCAUUCCGCCGGCCACAGCCACCACCACGGAUUUCCACGGCGUCAAAUAAGAAAGGGGCUUUGAAGCUUGGGAUCCAGGACCAGGACUUGGCAAUUUAUCUGAACUGACAGAGCAGAGCCCUAGGGGCCAGGCAGACCGCCCCCCUCUUCUGUCCCCACCCCCUGCAUUGCAUCGCUGAACUCUGAAUGUCUCCACUCAGAAGAGUUCCCUUCACUGCAAAGGAAAGGUGAAUAAUAACAGUAAAACCGAAGAAACAAGCUCUUCAUGGCUGAGCAUGUUUUGCUCCAAUUCUACGGUCUUUUUGGACCAAACGUUUGUUGGAGUUCACAGGUGAGGUUGGAGCUGGUUGUGUAGCAAUCUCUUUUUCGAAGGUAAAACCUUCAUCUCAGAGAGAAGCUCCUUAAGGCACAGAUGUUCUUAGGGGCUCCUUAAGGUCAAGAAGUAGACACCUUAAAGACUAAGGAAGUCCCUGAAACUGAUCAGAUGCAGGAGGCCCCUCCCUCCCUAAGCAUGUGUACACUGUAAGGACUGCUGAGAGAUAACUGCAGAGAAGCUGGGAUGCCUAAAAAAAGGUUCAGACCAGACCAGCCACCUGGGAGAGGCAGAGAUAAGCCUCCGAACUGGCUAGAAGACUUUCAGACUAGCCUAACUGCCUGGAUGAGGCAGAUACCAGCUGAGCUGCCUAGAAGAGACCAACUGAGCCAUGUGGAAAGGGACACUCUUUCAACCUACUGAGCUGCCUGAGGUUAUGCAGUGCACUUGGGUUUCCUGCCUCUUUGAGCUGUCACUGAUUAUCACUGAAUACUGAUUGAUUCACCAAGUUGGACUUUGAUUAGGAUCCUUCCUUUGGUCUGUCAUUGGUUCCCUGUCUUGGUGUUCAUCUUGCCCUAGGAAUAGUCGCCCAACAGAGAUGGUGUCCAUUUGGACAAGGUCUACUCCAUGGUG